UGGGGAAUUUUGGACAAUGGGCGAAAGCCUGAUCCAGCAAUGCCGCGUGUGUGAAGAAGGCCUUCGGGUUGUAAAGCACUUUUGUCCGGAAAGAAAUGGCUCUGGUUAAUACCUGGGGUCGAUGACGGUACCGGAAGAAUAAGGACCGGCUAACUACGUGCCAGCAGCCGCGGUAAUACGUAGGGUCCAAGCGUUAAUCGGAAUUACUGGGCGUAAAGCGUGCGCAGGCGGUUGUGCAAGACCGAUGUGAAAUCCCCGAGCUUAACUUGGGAAUUGCAUUGGUGACUGCACGGCUAGAGUGUGUCAGAGGGGGGUAGAAUUCCACGUGUAGCAGUGAAAUGCGUAGAGAUGUGGAGGAAUACCGAUGGCGAAGGCAGCCCCCUGGGAUAACACUGACGCUCAUGCACGAAAGCGUGGGGAGCAAACUGG
rnacentral:rRNA from 1 species